AGAGUUUGAUCCUGGCUCAGGAUGAACGCUAGCGACAGGCCUAACACAUGCAAGUCGAGGGGCAGCGAAGAGGUAGCAAUACCUUUGUCGGCGACCGGCGCACGGGUGAGUAACACGUAUGCAAUCCACCUGUAACAGGGGGAUAACCCGGAGAAAUCCGGACUAAUACCCCAUAAUAUGGGCUCUCCGCAUGGAGAGCCCAUUAAAGAGAGCAAUUUUGGUUACAGACGAGCAUGCGCUCCAUUAGCCAGUUGGCGGGGUAACGGCCCACCAAAGCGACGAUGGAUAGGGGUUCUGAGAGGAAGGUCCCCCACAUUGGAACUGAGACACGGUCCAAACUCCUACGGGAGGCAGCAGUGAGGAAUAUUGGUCAAUGGUCGGCAGACUGAACCAGCCAAGUCGCGUGAGGGAAGACGGCCCUACGGGUUGUAAACCUCUUUUGUCGGAGAGUAAAGUACGCUACGUGUAGCGUAUUGCAAGUAUCCGAAGAAAAAGCAUCGGCUAACUCCGUGCCAGCAGCCGCGGUAAUACGGAGGAUGCAAGCGUUAUCCGGAUUUAUUGGGUUUAAAGGGUGCGUAGGCGGCACGCCAAGUCAGCGGUGAAAUUUCCGGGCUCAACCCGGAGUGUGCCGUUGAAACUGGCGAGCUAGAGUACACAAGAGGCAGGCGGAAUGCGUGGUGUAGCGGUGAAAUGCAUAGAUAUCACGCAGAACCCCGAUUGCGAAGGCAGCCUGCUAGGGUGAAACAGACGCUGAGGCACGAAAGCGUGGGUAUCGAACAGGAUUAGAUACCCUGGUAGUCCACGCAGUAAACGAUGAAUACUAACUGUUUGCGAUACAAUGUAAGCGGUACAGCGAAAGCGUUAAGUAUUCCACCUGGGGAGUACGCCGGCAACGGUGAAACUCAAAGGAAUUGACGGGGGCCCGCACAAGCGGAGGAACAUGUGGUUUAA
rnacentral:rRNA from 1 species